UCACACUCGUUGAUGUCUGGGUGGGGGAGUGCCGGGGGGAUGAACAGGUGGAGCAAGGGCAGGCGGAAGGCCAGGCCAGAGAAGCGGCAAGUGGGACGGCCGGAGAGCAGCCCAUCCACAGACAGCCCAGCCAGAGCCCAGCUCCCGUUCCCCAGGGGCCAGGACUCCCCAGGACACAACAGGGGCCUCAGGAACAUUCUGGAGAGCCUGGGGGAGAGGCUGUGCUGGCUGGCACCCUCCCGCCCAGGGUGCCGUGACCCACGGGCAGCGCCCCAAUCCUUGACUCCCUCAGCGGAUGCCCCACCUUCCAGAGGAGCUCCUGCUUGGGCGAAUCAGGACGGGGGGCUGGGGCUAGAGGACCCCCGCCUGUAGCAGCUCUGUCCCACUCUUCAGGCUUCACCCCAGCCAUCCAAGGGGGUACUAUGUGAGCCCCAGUUCACCAGGAGGGUGAGGCUCAGAGAGGUGAAGAGAGGUGCCCAGGGACACAGAGCAGAGCUGAGAUGGGCCUGCAGGCUGCUUUCUUGAGGCUCCUGGGUGAAGCGUGGGAGCCCGGGGUGUGCCCCUGAGCCCUCUGAGCUCGCCGCCCACCCCACCCACGCGGCACGGGGCUGAGGGGGCUCACCCUGACAGUUCUUGCCACUGGGCAGGAGGCGGUAGCCAGCUGGGCAGAGGCAGCGGUAGCUGCCCUCCAUGUUGCGGCAGGCAUGCUGGCACAGGGUCCUCACCCGACACUCGUCCAGGUCUGACCAGGCACGGGGGCAGGACGGAGAACAGGGCAUGGGAAGCUGAGUCAGAGGCCCAGGUCACCACAUGCCCGCCUGCCGGCUCUGGGGCAGGUCAGGAAAGGUCCCUGCCGAGGUGCCCGCUCCCCACUCCGCCCCGCCCAGCCAGUUUUAGGGGUGGGAGGCAUCCCUGCCUGUUGAGAGUGGGGAUUCCGUCCUGUCCCCACCAAGGGGACAGGCAGGGUGCCCUGGGAAGCUGCCUCUGCCUUGCCCUCUCUGCUGCCCAGUGCCAACCUGAGGUCCAGGGGCCGUCCUCACCUACCCUCUGUGCCCAUCAGACCCUCCUCAGGUCCUCACGUCUGCCUGGAAUGUUCCCUCCCUCCCUGGCUGCUUUGCCCUGGGUACCAAAAGGCUUCUCCACUGGCUUCCUGAGAACAGGGCUUAGCAGGCCCCUCGGGACGUCCCGCGGUCAGCAGCCCCCACCUCCCGACAGCCCCCCACCCAGCAGCACUGCCCUGAGACUCUGCUCCUGGCCUCGGGAAGCAGCCCUCUGCCUCGGUCACGCAUCCUGCUUGCCCGUGAGUCCUGGGUAUCUACACAGGUGGGGCCCCAUGACCAGCCCAGGAGCCAAGGUAACAGGGCAUGUCCUUCUGGGGCGCUUGGGGCCCAGCCUCACCUGUGCAGAUGCCGUUCUGCCUGAUGAAGCCAGGCGGGCACCAAGCCCGGUCCACGCUGCUCAGGGCUCCCGGCCCCGGGCGGAGGGAGGCCCAGGUAUGGUAGGAGUGGCCAGGGACAGACGCCCGGGGCCGCAGCCAGGGCACAGAGGGGCCCAGGCUGAGGGUGGUCACGUUGUGCUCACUCUGCUCCAGCUGGGUGCAGCCCCUGCCAUCGCGGAGGAGGGUGUGGCCCGGUGGGCACAGGCAGCGGAAGCUGCCCUGCAGGUUGUGGCACUGGUAGGCGCAGGGCCUGGGCAGCCGCAGGCACUCGUUGACGUCUGGGGAUGGAGGCCAGGCUGGGCGUGGAGGGCGGCUCGGGCUCCCCGCCUCCACCCUGCUCCUCCAAGCUGCCCUCCACGUGCACCACCCUCCGACUCCGGGUCUGCGGCCGGACCCCUCCCUCGCCAGCUCCAGCAGCACUCGGCCUCCAGCCCGCCCAGCCCCACAGCUCUGGUGUCCCAUCAGUCCAUUCUACCUGCUCAGCCUCCCAGGCCCACCCUCGGCUAGGCCCGGGUGGGGCCAAGCACAGGUCCAGGAGCUGGUGGGUGCAGUCGGGCCACACGGAACUCGCCAGCACCACACCACGAACCCAACCGUGCCCACAGGGCCCAGAGCAGGACGGCAGACAAGCACAUGAAGAGCUUUGCAGCCUGCCGUGUGGGAAGAGCCAAAAGAACUGUCUGCACGUCCAGGACUUGACCUCACCUGCACCUGAAGAUCUGCAUCAGCCAGGCUUUCGGGGACAAUGCCAUUGACCACCACAUCGAGGAGUAGGAGUCCAUUGGGAUCCAGGCCGCGAGCCACCUGGGUCAUUGUGAGCAGCUCCCCUGCAGUGCAUCCCCACCCAGCCGAGUCACCUCGGGAGGUCCUGGGUUAGGCCUCCGCCCCCACCUGACCCACCUGGGGGGAGGCCCUGCUCACCCGUAGCAAACUCCACGUGAGACUCUUGUCGGAAGCUGCCACCCGUCAGGGAGUGGCCGUUCAGGGCCUCUCCGCUCUCUCCAGCCAAGGCCCAGUAUAUGGGGGCAAUGGUGACCACCAGCACCCGCAUCAGAGGCCCUGGACAGGGUGCAGGUUAGGGCUGUUCCACAUCCCCCCGACUCCACCCACCCCCAGGAGAGCUCAGUCCUUUCCCUCCCUGCCCAAGCUCCAGCUAUUGAGCCAGAACCUGGGCAACAGCAAGAGCAAGCAUUUCAUGGUCAUUGUAAAAAUUAACAAAGCAAGUUUAUAGAAAGAAAUGUAUGUAACUUGUUCAUGUUCAACUCAGUCCAGCAAACGCACAUUAAGGCCUUGAGUCACCGCAGAGCCUGGAAUGCCACAGGCUGCCAUUACAUAUUUGCUGGGCUGAGUUGGCCCCUUCUGGAAGAGCCCAGGAGAGGAAGGAUUGUUCCAAACUACUGACUUUGAAAAAAGAGCCAAAAAGCUGCACUGGACAUGGAUUCUCAGGCCUUCACCAGAUGCCCAGCCCUCUUGUGGCCGGGUGAAGCCGCACACUGGGCCAGGGAAACAUCACCCACUCCCAGAUUGCUCAGGGUUAGGGAAGGUGGCACUCUGUGAUGUCAACAGGAGGAAGCUGGGUCGCUGCGCAUGAGGGACCCUUCUCAGCCUCUCUGUGCCUGUCUCCACGGCAGAGCCUGGCCCACUUGGCCUGGGAUCAUGGUUUUCCCAAGGCUCCUGCCCCUUGAAGAAGCAGCCACACCUGGAUGCGUCUCGCUUCCUUCACUCUGCUAAUGGCCGGCUCUGAGUGACUCUGGCCAAAGCCCCCGCCCACACGCUCACACAGGACUGGGGCGGGCAGCUGGAGAGGAGCUGCAGUGAGGAGAGACCUGCCAGCCCGCCCUUCCCCGCCUCGUCCCCAGGGAAGGCAGCUGGGCGGCUCCCUCAGGACCAGGUCUGCAGCAGGACGUGCUGUUUUAGGGAUCUGCGUGCAGGGGGACAUUUCUGGGUUCUCUGGUUUUCCAGCUCAUGUGAUUCUCGCGUUCCCCGCUUUUGUCCCUGCCGGCCUGCUCCUGAAUCAUUUCCAGCAUCCGUCAUUUUCCAUCAGCCUUGGACUUGAGAGUGGAAAGCCCCGGAGCGGGCAGAGGCUUGGGACCCUCCCUGAGCCCCACAGCCCUGUCAUCUUCAUUAUGAUCUCUGUGUGGUGGGGCUGAGAGCCGGAGAGGAAGCUGCCUGCUCGGGGGCUUGGGCUCGGCCUGCGGAGGCAGUCAGAUCUCUGGGAAUCGGGGCCAGAGUGAGCGAGCCCAGGGCACGGGCUUCCUCCCUGUCCAGGGUGAGCCACGGGGUCCCUGGCAGGUGGGGUGGUGGGCCUAGAGGCAGGUGCCACUGUGGUUCCACUUACCCACAUGUGCCGGGAUGUGGCUGAUGCUGCUCUGGAUGGUGGUGACCCUGGAAUGCACCUCCUGCUGCACACUGGUGUUGAGAGAAGCCACACCAAAUUCCUGACCAUUGAUCACCCCGACCAUGCUGCCCCGGCUUCCCCGGGGGGCCCCUGUGAAGAAGAAAAGAGAAGGAGUGACACUCCACUCCCAUGCCUUGAUACAAACAGGCACUGUUGCCAUGCCCAUGUCAUGAGGGAUAAACAGACUCAGAGAGGUGAAGUAGCUUGCCCCAGGACACACAGCUAAGGGGUGAUGGACUCAACACGUAGGUGAUCCUGGCUCUAAAAGAGAAGGGAGCUUUGAGGAGGGUCCCCGAGUUGGGGUGAAACCCAGCUAAGUCAGGUCCCCAAGUCACACCAAUUAUCUGGAAAUGAGGAUGUGAGCAUGCACGAAACCCUGGUCUCUAAAACACCGGGAACCCCUGAUAGCAGGGGUUGGGGGGCCAGAGCACCAUGCCAGAGCUGAGUGCCGCCGCCUGAAGACCCCCCUUCCCAUCUUCGGCCCUGUUCCUGCAGCUGGUCUGCCUGGGCGGCUGGUUUCCUAAUGAGCGGAGGCCCUGGGCUCUAAUCGGAUGAGGGCUGCGGUGCAGGGGAGCUUCCUCCGACCAGGGCCAGCUGUCUCCUGGGCACCUGCCCGUCCAGCUCCCAGGGGGACACGAACAACACAUUCCCCUGAUCUGUCAAAAAGUAACAUGAAACACUCUAUGGCCAGGACCCUAGCUGGAUGAGUCGGGCGGGUUGAGCCGGAUUCCAGGAAACAGCGGGCUCCCUGCGGCCUGCGUGGGGCUGGAGGAGACUUCCUGCACAUCUGGGAUGUUUCUCACCAGCACCCGCUGCUCUGCAGUGCGGGGAGGGCACCAGAAAGGCCGCCAGCCUUUUAAUAAGGGAGCCAGAUCCAGGAGAAGGCGGGAGUGACCCGAGGCCUUGGGAGGGGACAGGAGCUGGGGGCUCAGGAGAGACAAGCCACCGUUGGCUUUCUCAGACCUGGGGUGUCUCUGUGGCCUCGUGGGGGACCCUCAGGCUGACAGCCAGGGGCCCUGAAAAGUUCAGACUGAAGGCAGAGCCCCCGACGGAAUGUAUCCUGCAGGAACUGAGUGCCCGGGGCACGGUUCUGGAGGGGGGACGACACUGGAGAAAGGAACCCUGCUUAUCUACAAAACCAACCAAAACUAACACAAAGACAUUCCCAUGCAGGGCUAGGGACCAGGCACGAUGACUCAUGGGGUGGCAUCCCAGACAGUAAGGAAAAGGGCAGGUUGUAAAGACCACCUGUAAACCCAACCUCAUCCAUGAGGAGAAAGCAUCUCCUCACAUUC